CACGUUCUCUCUCAUUCAGAAGCAUCACCACCAGCUUUCUUUUCUACUUCAUUUUCUUUUCUUUCUCCCACAUUCACGUCCCUUCUUUUCUUUUCCUGCAGCACUUCUCCUUUUCAUUCCCUUUCUUCUUUUUCUGCUCAUGAUCACCAACGUUACAGCACCAUCAUCAACUUCUUCUUCUUCAUUUAUUUCCUUCCUUGCAGCACCUAAAUCACCCAUUUCCUAUACCCACUUCAUUUAUCUCAUUCAACUCAUUGCACAACACUCUCGUCCUUUUCUUUUCUUUGUUACAGCAGCACAACCCUCAUUUUCUUCUUCUUCAUUUCUUUUCUUUUCUCCAUGGCUGGCCAAACCCACCACAACCCUCUGUCCUUCUUCCUCACGUAGCUCCCUUGGACAGCCACAGUAACCAUAAUCUCUAUGGACUUAUAUGGGUACGAAGGACGAAAGCGCCUUGCGGCGAAGCUAAAGAAUAGAAGGAAGCGAGCCGACGUGGAAAACAAAGAUGUGAUUGGAUUGAAGUUGCAGUUUAGGAAAGAAAUUGGCUAAGGCGAUGGAGAAUCUUCGAUGGAGCUUGAUCUUCGUACGAGUCGGAGAGAAGAACUUGAAUAACUGUGGAUGACUCGAAGAAUAGAGUCGGGUGUAGGGCUAGAGCCUUGGGUUAGAGAGCUUACCGUUAUUGGUUUAAGCUUGCAUAAAGAUUUUAGGAAUUUAUAUUUGAGGUUUCGGGUAGGUUCCGAUGCAUUGCUUUCCUGCGGUUCCCCGAUGUGGAGAUCGUAGGGAGUAUGUCGGAUUCAUGGUGUCAUUGCAUAAUAGGUUUUUGUUGAGUUGUUUCUAUUGGUUAGAUUUUGUAGUUGGGAGUAUGCAUGACAUGUUUUGGAAAUACAUUUGAAAAGAAAAAAUAUACUCGUGUUUAUACA